rnacentral:lncRNA from 1 species
AGCCAUUUGAAAGACACUGCUGUGCAAGGCAAACCCUGGCUGGGGACAGCAAGGCUCGUUUUAGCAUACGCACUGCUGGAAGCAGACAUAUGCUAUCAUAUCAGGAGUUGCAGAUGAUUCCUGGCUGCAUAUUUCCCACAAAUCCUCGGCCCGAACCUGCUUGGAGCCCAGGAUAUCGCCCUGUUUCAUGGAACUCACUCUCGUGUCUCCCAUAAACAAAGCAGCACAGGCAACUGGCCUUUUAAAGCUAUCAAAAUGUGAUCCUUUUUAUGAUCAACGUUGACUGCAAAGGCCAAUUUCAAAUCUGGAAGAGCUCAGUGAAAGAAAUAAGAUUCAGUGCAUGACAUUUGCAAAGAGGAGGAUACUGAAGAAACACCUGACAUAAUCGUAAAGCAGGAUCAAAAUCAUCUGGGCAAUUCACAGGAAGAGCGCUCCCUCACGUGCCAGCUUACCUCAUCUCAACUGCAGCCUAAACUACCAGUUAGAGUUCUGUUCCACUGCAAUAGAGUUUAUCUCACAUUCCCAUGUCCCCAGGAGACUGGCCACCAUGCUAUGCUGAAAAAUGUCACUGUUUGUUGGAAGAUGAAUAUGUAAAUAAAUGAGCCGUGCUACUGGUUUCUUCCAAAGAAGGAGAUAGAGGGCAGAAGAGAGGUCAACGGAACAAUGGGUACGCUCUGGGAGGACCAAGGGGGAUGAAAGGUCAGUUAUAAAGAGGAGGGAGAAGCUGAGCUGAGUUUUUCUUUCAAACUAAUUUUGGUUCACAUAACCCAGAAAGGAACUUUAUUGGGAGGGCAUAAGAUUGAUCACAGAUUCAAAGGGAAAGACAGGAAUGAAAACAGCAGCUUCAGGGAGGUAUUAGUUGCCAAGCAACAACACUGUUUAGCCUUUGGGACUCAUGAUGCCUGUCCCUAAGGAGAACACAGCACUAGCCUAGACUUUUGGCCAGCCCACCUUCGAGCCUGGGCGACACCGUGCACCUUGAUGGACAGCCCUGCCUAAAAUGAUCUCUUGGAGUAGCAAGAUGUUGGGUGUUGUGAGAAGAUGGAGGGGGUGGGUGCUGAGCAGAUGAAAGCAGCCUGUGCCCAUCACAGUGAGUGGAGAUGAAAGUGGCCAAGGCCAUCCAGAGAGCCAGAGGAGUCUAGCCACGGCACGGGGACGAGGACACCAUGUUCCGUGGUUCAGUGUGAACCUAUUAGUUACCAU